AUUGAACGCUGGCGGCAUGCCUUACACAUGCAAGUCGAACGGCAGCACGGGAGCAAUCCUGGUGGCGAGUGGCGAACGGGUGAGUAAAGUAUCGAAACGUGCCCAGUCGUGGGGGAUAACGUAGCGAAAGUUACGCUAAUACCGCAUACGAUCUAUGGAUGAAAGCGGGGGAUCGCAAGACCUCGCUCGAUUGGAGCGGCCGAUAUCAGAUUAGGUAGUUGGUGGGGUAAAGGCGCACCAAGCCGACGAUCUGUAGCUGGUCUUAGAGGACGACCAGCCACACUGGGCCUGGGACCAGGCCCAGACGCCUACGGGGGUCAGGAGUGGGGAAGUUUGGACAAUGGGAGAAAGCCUGAUCAAGCCAUGCCGCGUGCAGGAUGAAGGCCUUCGGGUUGUAAACUGCUUUUGUACGGAACGAAAAGGUUUGGCCUAAUAAGCUGAGCUCAUGACGGUACCGUAAGAAUAAGCACCGGCUAACUACGUGCCAGCAGCCGCCGUAA
rnacentral:rRNA from 1 species